rnacentral:lncRNA from 1 species
CUGCAGGACAAAUUCGAGCAUCUUAAAAUGAUUCAACAGGAGGAGAUAAGGAAGCUCGAGGAAGAGAAAAAACAACUGGAAGGAGAAAUCAUAGAUUUUUAUAAAAUGAAAGCUGCCUCUGAAGCACUGCAGACUCAGCUGAGCACUGAUACAAAGAAAGACAAACAUCUAACAAUUUGGACAAGACAGCAAAUGCUAUUGUCGAAGUUUUCUAAAGAAGAAUCUGAAGUGAAAUGACAUCAAGAGACCUAUCAAG